GCAAAUUCCUUCACAGUCAGGAUGUGAACUGGGGUUUUCACAAACUCUGAUGUGUACACCAGGCCACCUGGGCUCUUGCAAAAAUGCAGGUUCUGAUUUAGCAAGUCUGAGGCAGGGCCUAAAACUCUGCAAUUCCAGCUACAUCUCAGCUGACGCCGAGGCUGGAAAUCUAUGGAUCAUAGUUUGGGAGUAAGCCCUCAGAGAGGAUCAACCCAGCUGACGCUUUGAGUACGAGCUUCCGGCCUCCAGAACGCUUUGAGGCAAGCAAGGACUCGGCAAGUCAAGAGAUCCUGCACUCUUGGGAAAAGCAGCUGAAGUUUGCCCCUUACCUUGCUGUCUGCUGAUGCCUGCCUUGUACCUGAUGGCAUUCAGGGGGCCAAGGAGGUCAAGGAACCUGAUGCCAAUUCCCUGGGCACCGCCACCCAAGCUCAAAUCCUGUCUUUUUGUUUUUGGUACCGGGGAUCGAACUUGGGUCCUUGCGCUUGCGCAGCAGGGCAUUGAGUCAUCCUCUCCUGGAUUAAGUGAUAACCAUCUUAUCACUAAGCAUCCCCAUGUGACUCUGGUGCCCGUUGGGCAUUGUGUUAAGUUGGCAACUGUGCCGAGGUGCUCCGCUUUAAAUACUACAUCAUCACAAGGAAAGACUAGGAUGCAAUCAAUGGCCCUGGCCGUGCCUGGUGAGAGCUCAGGGAUGGGACCCUAUGCUGUGUGGACGGAGGAUUUGCCUCAGGGUGAAGAGGAGAAAGUGGAGGAAAAUCCAGCUGUCACAGCAGAGGUGGGUGUGGGGGUG
ensembl:lncRNA